rnacentral:lncRNA from 1 species
UUGCCGUAAUCAUCUCAUAAAGGUUUCUCUCUGCUAAAGUGAAAGUAGAUUUCCAGAAAACCUCUCUCAUCGUAUUUAUAGAAAGUUGACUAAGUGGAACGACAGCUGACGGGACUUUCCCGUAGGUCGAAGGUCGUCUUCUUCUUCUUCAAAACAAACAAUUGCCAUGUGUAAGAAGGUUUAGUUUUCUUAAAACAUUCAAAACCUUCACACUAAAUUAUAAGGACAUCAAGACAGCAUAAAUUCCGACUGCUCUUGCAGGCGGUGAGAUUAAAUCUAAAGUUCGUUUCGUCAACCUUCUAUUUAUAAUUUUCCCGUCAGUGGAUCGACCAAUCAAAACGUUUGUUAUGUUCACAGGCAAUCUCGUGUUGCAGACCGCCAAUACACAAAUAAAUAUGGCUUC